rnacentral:rRNA from 1 species
GUGGGGAAUAUUGGACAAUGGGCGAAAGCCUGAUCCAGCAAUGCCGCGUGAGUGAUGAAGGCCUUAGGGUUGUAAAGCUCUUUUACCAGGGAUGAUAAUGACAGUACCUGGAGAAUAAGCUCCGGCUAACUCCGUGCCAGCAGCCGCGGUAAUACGGAGGGAGCUAGUGUUGUUCGGAAUUACUGGGCGUAAAGCGCACGUAGGCGGUUACUCAAGUCAGAGGUGAAAGCCCGGGGCUCAACCCCGGAACUGCCUUUGAAACUAGGUAACUAGAAUCUUGGAGAGGUCAGUGGAAUUCCGAGUGUAGAGGUGAAAUUCGUAGAUAUUCGGAAGAACACCAGUGGCGAAGGCGACUGACUGGACAAGUAUUGACGCUGAGGUGCGAAAGCGUGGGGAGCAAACAGGAUUAGAAACCCUUGUAGUCC